UUGAGAGAAGGGAAUUUAGGGUUAUUGAGGUGCGUCGUUCCCAAUUCUCAGACUCCCUCUUCACUCAAAAACGAAAGAAGCGGCGGUGGCGGAGACUCUCUCUUCUCCGGCCAAAACCGAAUCCUCCGGCCACCGCAAACAACAUGCCCUCGUCUCCUUCUUCCGAGUUUGUGUUCCAAUUUCCCUCUCAGUCCUCUCCUAUGAUUCAUGACCUUCUACCUCAUCGCGGCGCCGGAGAAUUCAACUUCUCCGAGUGGCCACCGUCAUGAACCAAGCCUCAUCAACCUCCUCCCUACAAAUCUUCAUCUAAUGCCUCGUAUCUCCACCCAAUCUCUCAUACUCAGACUAAAAGGAGAACCCUGGAGCGGUGCACAAGGCUGAUAGUCGAAGAAAUCCGGGGCCGAGGCGAUAAUCUUCCGAGAUUGACGAGAUAUGCGAAAUGAAUGUAGAGGAGCAAUGAAAUUCUUCAGAUAUGCUGUGAGCUUGAUGAUGAUUGUUGUUCUGAAGGUUGAUUGAAGAUGAAGAGGGAAUCUAGUAGAAUCAAGGGAGAAGAAUGAUGAAGGUGAAUCUGCUAUAUAGGUGAUGAGAAUGAAGAUUGGUGAUGAGAGUGAAGAACUGAGAGUGAAGAUUGGUGAUGUUGCAGAGAGUUGAAGUAUGAACUGAAAUGGCAUGGAGAGGUCAAGAUGAUCGAGGAAUGGUCGAAGGAGCCAAGAGUGAUGGAGUUCUGAGAUUUUAUACUAAUGAAAGGUUCUGGAUUUGGCGGGCUGCACGUUGCGUGACGAGGUUCAAAUAUAACUCAUGGAGCUUUAAAGUUUAGAAGACCAUGGAAUGGCUCUUGGUAUUGAUGUAUUGGAGGCAUUGAAACAUUUUUGUUGGCAAAGCAUGGUUUGGCAUAAUAGUAAUGAAUGUGAUGUAUCAUUUCUUUUUUCUCUUCGAAAUUGUAGAAACAAUAGAGUAGGAUUGGGGGUGUUUUUAUGAGAUCCUUUUUUGUAGUUUGAUUCUUUGUAAUGGAUAUUGGACUCUUUGAAAUGAACUUGGGCUUUUUGUGUAAUUAUUUUCUCUUUGGUUUCCCUUCUUGUAACAUGAAUAAAUCUUGGAUAAAUGGGCUUUAAGCUUCACCCUUGAACUUGAGAUAACCACCAUACGGGCUAGAGAUAUAAGAACUACUUGACAUCUUUGAAUAAAAACAUACUUUGAAUCCUUGAAUAAUGAUAACCUUGAAUAAUGCCUAAACCACGAUCUCUUGUAUGCGAAGAAAUCCAACCAAUCAAUUUACUCUUUUGUGAGCUUAAACCCUUAGUCUCUAAAUAAAAUCCUUUACAUCCAAUAUCCUUAAUCUCAUUUUUAAAUUAUUGAUGAAUGUAUGAUUUUUUUUUAUUGAUGGCCUAAUAUGCAAAUGAUUUUAAAGCAAUAGCCAGUUAGAAAUAAAAUAAAAUUAUAUGGGCAAAUUUUGGGGUGCAACACCC